rnacentral:rRNA from 1 species
UACAGAGGUCUCAAGCGUUGUUCGGAUUCAUUGGGCGUAAAGGGUGCGUAGGUGGCGCCGUAAGUCGGGUGUGAAAUUUCGGAGCUUAACUCCGAAACUGCAUUCGAUACUGCGGUGCUUGAGGACUGGAGAGGAGACUGGAAUUCAUGGUGUAGCAGUGAAAUGCGCAGAUAUCAGGAGGAACACCCGUGGCGAAGGCGGUUCUCUGGGACGGUACUGACGCUGAGACGCGAAAGCGUGGGGAGCGAACAGG